CCCUUAGAUGUUCUGGGCCGCACGCGCGCUACACUGAUGCAUUCAACGAGUUUCUUCCUGGUCCGAGAGGAAUGGGUAACCUUUUGAAAGUGCAUCGUGAUAGGGAUAGACUAUUGCAAUUAUUGGUCUUCAACGAGGAAUUCCUAGUAGACGUAGUUCAUCAGACUGCAUCGAUUACGUCCCUGCCCUUUGUACACACCGCCCGUCGCUCCUACCGAUUGAGUGCUACGGUGAAUAAUCCGGACUGCAGCAACGUUCGGUUCCUGAAUGUUGCAGUGGACAGUUUAGUGGACCUUAUCACUUAGAGGAAGGAGAAGUCGUAACA
rnacentral:rRNA from 1 species